rnacentral:rRNA from 1 species
ACUCCUACGGGAGGCAGCAGUGGGGAAUAUUGCACAAUGGGGGAAACCCUGAUGCAGCCAUGCCGCGUGUGUGAAGAAGGCCUUCGGGUUGUAAAGCACUUUCAGUAGGGAGGAAGGUAGUGUAGUUAACACCUGCAUUAUUUGACGUUACCUACAGAAGAAGCACCGGCUAACUCCGUGCCAGCAGCCGCGGUAAUACGGAGGGUGCGAGCGUUAAUCGGAAUUACUGGGCGUAAAGCGCAUGCAGGCGGCCUGUUAAGUCAGAUGUGAAAGCCCGGGGCUUAACCUCGGAAUUGCAUUUGAAACUGGCAGGCUAGAGUCUUGUAGAGGGGUUAGAAUUUCAGGUGUAGCGGUGAAAUGCGUAGAGAUCUGAAGGAAUACCAGUGGCGAAGGCGGCCCCUGGACAAAGACUGACGCUCAGAUGCGAAAGCGUGGGAGCGAAACAGGAUUAGAUACCCCGUGGUAGGUCAGUC